ACACCACCUAUGUUCUUCACUCUCCCAGAAAUCUUCCCUAUGGAACAGCUCUUUUCCUCACCGUAACAGGGAAAUUAUUUGAGGAAGUGACCACAGAUGAAACUGUUUCCAGAUGUCUACAAAGGUUUUUGGGUUUUGUGGGGACUGAAGUACAGCAGGAAGCAGCAUAAGCAGACAGAAAGAAGCCUUAGUGUGAUUGAACGAACAUAGAGAAAGAAGAGCCAGGAACCACAGAGACAGCAAAGUAAUGGUCAGACACACAACCCUGGAGCCUGCCCAACUUGUGUACCUCUUAUUA
rnacentral:lncRNA from 1 species